AACCAGCUCAUAGAGUGGUGAUCAUGAUUAUUUGGCUUAAAGUGUGCGUAGCAGGGAAUUCUAAGUCCUCUGUGAAAUGUCAGGUCUUAAGCUUGACACGUGCAGAGGAUACUGGAAUCCUUGGGACUGGGAUAGGUGUAAUGUACGGUUUGGGUAGGGUGAAAUCCGAUAAUCCAAGCCGGACAACCGGUGGCGAAGGCGUUACACUGGAACAGGUCCGACUGUGAGGCACGAAAGCUAGGGUCGCGAGCCGGAUUAGAUACCCGGGUAGUCCUGUGCUGUAAACGAUGCGGGCUAGGUGUUGGGGUGGCUACGUGCCACUUCAGUGCCGCAGGGAAGCCAUUAAGCCCGCCGCCUGGGGAGUACGGCCGCAAGGCUGAAACUUAAAGGAAUUGGCGGGGAGCACCACAAGGCGUGAAGCUUGCGGUUC
rnacentral:rRNA from 1 species